GGAUGUGAGGGUGAUCUGGCUAUGACAUCUGUCUCCCUAUUGAUCACCAGCAUUGAUGAAGCUUCUCUGGAUGGCUAGACAGAUGUCCCCUUCCUCCUUCUCCACUCCAUGUGUCCCUCCUGAAGCUGUGUGUUCUGUCAAAGGGGGCAGCCACCUCUGCUAGAAUCUCCAAACAAGCUCUCAG
rnacentral:snRNA from 1 species